rnacentral:lncRNA from 1 species
AUUAAAUGGCUGAUUUGAUAUGCAUACACUUCAUUCAAUGGAAUAAAUCUGUCGGUUUUGAUUUUGCCUCAGUCUCUAGUGAUAUAUCAGCAAGAUGUGGACAGAGAAUGGGAAGCUUUAAUGAACACCACAGAAAUAUUCCUUCACCAGUCGUAUGGCUAUGCACAUGUGAGAGGGACACAGGAGGAGACAGGGAUGCUGACCACAGGCUCCUUGCAGUAGGUGGACUCAGGGGCCAGACUGUAAUGGCAGUGAUGGACAUGGAUUCACAGGGAGAAAGGCAUCCCAGAAGCAGAAGAAUUAGUCAAGCAGAGGCACAGAAGCAAGAGUUAGUUGUGUGCAGGGACUGGCAAGCAGGCUGGCUCGGCUGAGAUAAAGGAAAAAAAAAAAAACAACUCAAAAGAGAUGCGGUAUAAAAGAGGAUUUGAAUGGAGACCUUGAAUCCUAGGCUGACAAGUCUGGACUUGAGUACAAAGAUAUAUUUUAACAUUUUCCUGAGCCACCGUUUGCCUAGGCUGCAUGACAUACCAAUUCUUAUGGAAGGACUCAGUGCUCACCAUCCUCGAAAACCUGAUUCAAAACCUAUCUUGCCAUUCUUGCGUGCUCCUAAAAGAAGAGAAAAAGGCCUCCAGUUAGAGGCCAUCAACAAAAAUGCUGAAUGGGUCAUCGUAUUUCCUAAAAGUCAAGAACAAAGAAGACCCAGACAAGGCUUCUGAGAACUAUGGAGACGUAUCCAGAUGCCACACUGAAAAUACAAUUCCACCACCCAUCCAUUAUUUGCUCAGGCAUAUAACAAGACAUCUCUUUUCACUGGUUUCUCUUCUGCCACCUGUUAAAUUAGAAAAACAACUAGUCUUAUAAAUGAAUAAAGGUGCUUAUUAUAGAUACAUACCACUUCCCAAGCAAAGAAAAUCAGGCCUUAGAAGAAAGUAUAAGGGAAGGUAGAUGUAUUAACUAUGUAGAUCAUGCUUAUUUGCCUCUUGAGAGAUGGCUUCUCUCCUCAAAUUCAAUGGAGCUGUAAUUUGAAAAAUCAGGCCUGUAGGCACUUUUAGGAUAUAAUGACAUUUGCACACAUGAUCACAUGCUUCAGGGAAAAAAAUGAAAUCAGGAGGACACACUGGUAAGCUGUGGGCUUAUUGUGGGCACCACAGCAUACAAAGUCACUAUAUGAAUUCCCAGAUUAGGACACAGUUUGAUGGUUUUCUUGGUUCUCUUAAGAGCUUGGUGGAAAUUAAGUCUGUUUUACAUAAGGUAACCUCAAGUCCCCUGGCUGCUAAAAUGAUAUAAUGGUUUGCUCUGAAAUUAGCUACUAAAGUAACACAAUUCUUGCUAUCUGAGUAUAAAAGCAGAAGGCAGAAAUUCAUUCUUACAGAGUAAGAACUCAUUUUUUGCCAUAGAGUAAAACAUUCCAACCCUCCAAAGUCAGUCUAGGGAUUUGGGUUUCAUUUUUUCCUUUAAAAAGACAUUUUUCCCCUGGAUAUUCGGAAGAAUGUAAACAAAAGCCACAGAAAACACAAGUUAGGGCACUGAAGUAUAGCGUAGCACUCUCUUAUGGGAAAAAUGCCAGUGUGCUGUGGCAGAAGGCAGAUGAACACUGUCUCUUCUCCCGCUCCCCACUUCAAACCAGAGUCUCAUGUAGUUUCCCUACCCAGAAAGGAAGAGAAAACAAAUAAUAGCCAUUGUGACAACAAAGACGUGAGAUUUCAUAAAAUAGAUUACUUUUGGUGGAACAAAUACCUGACACCUUUCAACCUCAAAUAGUACAGUCUGAGACGCCACAGUCCAGGUUUCAAUCUUAACGCUAUGAAAUUCUGGAGUUAGUUUUAUUUCAUUCCAAAACUUGGAGUCUUAAGAUGCUUUAAGAACACUAAUUGUGGUGGACAUUUUAUUGGGUAAUUAUAUUUAUCAUGAUCUCCUCCACCUUGUCUCUGCUCCUCUGUCCCAUUUUGUAGCACUCCAAUCUUGUGACUUCCAAUUAGGUGACAAGAAGUGUCUAAAUUCUUAUCUGUGGUAUUUCAUCAUAAAUUUUGUAUAAGACUAUUAUAUGAACUGACAACAGCUAUGGGCCUGGAGACAAAAGGAUUAAGACACACUAAAAAGGUAUGGACAAAUGAACACAGGUAUAAAACCUGAACUGUAUUUCAAGUCUUUUGCUCUUUCUUCAAAUUUUUGCUACCUUUGGCCAACAUCAACAGUACUAGGUCAUUUAACAAAAAAGAUCCAUUAAAACUUAAUUCGGCUAUAUGAAAAUUAACUUCAAUCUACAAUGUGUGGCUUAAAUUCAUUCAAAGCAUUGUGGUUAAAAAAGGAACUCUAAAGUCAACCUACAGGAGUUGGACAGGUAACAUAAGUGAAUAGGAUAAUCUGUCAAACCAAAGGAGCUUAUACCUCGUAGGAAGGAAACCACAGCUACUCAAUUCCAUCAACUGGUUGUCACGUAGAAUGCAGGCCCUAUGUAACCAGAACUUCCAGUUUUUCAAAAGAAGUUAGAAAUCAAGAUUUUCAUCUAAAUAUCUAUGGGAUAUGUUAACAGAACUUCCAUUUUUUCAAAAGAAGUUAGAAAUCAAGAUUUUCAUCUAAAAUAUCUGAAUUCUAAAUGUUGCUAAGUAAUUAAAUUAUUUUAAGAACACUGUGUAAAACAAGCAAAACCACAAACCAAAUAACCAAUAGGACAUGGAGCAAGCCAAACAAAACAUACUUGUGGGCUAAAUCUAGACAAUUUGCAACCCCUACGAAAGGGAUCAGGGUUUUUAGGAAAGGGCAUUUUGUAAGCCAAGACCAGGAAAGAAGGGGACAGGCGGGUGGGAAAGGAGAUGUUAUAUGUGAAUGAAACUAAAACAACUUUCCAGGGGGAAAAACCCAGAAUACACUGCUCCCCCAAAAAACAAUAUAAAGAACAAAAUGGAAAUUUACCAUAUCUGAAUUUUCUUGAAUUCUAUUCCCUGGCUCCCAUUCCUCAACUAGAUGUAGAAGCUUGACGAGGAAAGGGAACUCAAUUUUCUUGGUAUCCUAAUGCUGAGGAGGGGCUGACUAACUCAAAAAAUUCAUUCAUUCAACAAAAAUUUACUGACUGCCUACUGUGUGCUGGGCACUAUUCUGGGGACAUCUACAUGAACAAAAACAGACCAAAAAACAAAAAAACAAAAACUCCUCUUCCCUCUUGGAGCUUACUUUUUGGAGGAGAAAACAGACUUAAUAAGUAAGUUAUAUGGAAUGUCAGAAGGUGAAUAGCACUGUGAGAAAAAAAGAGCAAUGUAAGAAGUAUGAUAUGGAGUGGUAAAGGCAGGAGUGCAGCAACUGUUAACAAGGGCACAGAACAGGUGAUACCUGAGUAAAGACUUGAAGGUGGUGAGGGAAUGAGAGCGAUAUGACAGCUAUCUGGAGGACAGGCAUUCCAGGCAGAAGGAACAGCAGUCAACAGAAAGGCCUCAGGCAGGAGUGUGUCUGCAGUGCCUGACACAUAGUAAAGAGGUCAGUGUGGCAAUAGUAUAGCAAGAAAGGGUGCAAGUAUACCACUGCGAGGACGUCUGAACAGUUGACUAGUCUGAUUUACAUAUUAAAAGGAUCCCACUAACAGCUGUUUUGAGAACAAAAUGAAGAGGAACAAAGGUAGAAGCAACAAGACCAGUGAGAAGGCUUUGAGAAUGAUCCUGGAGAGAGAGAUUUUAGCUUGGACCAGAGUGGUAGCAGCGAUGACAAAUAAAAAGGGUAAUUAGAUUCAGAAUGUAUUAUGAAGAUAGGACCAGAACUACCUGACAGAUGUAUGUGAAUAUUUACCAAUUUAGAAUGAAUCAAAUGGAUUUUUCUGUUUUCAGGAAUAUCGGGGUAUACACAGAUACAUUUUCUUUCUUUUGUUUUCUGUUUUGGUUAUAUCAAAGAAAAAUAAUAGAUGCUCUGAGAACAGGGAAGCUAUCUGAAGGGCAAACUUAUUUCUCUCUUUGAUUGGCUUUGAAACAGAAUAUAGUAGAAGUUAAAAUAAGCUCUGACUUCACACCCAUUAGGAUGGCUAUUACUAAAAAUCCCAAAGACAAGCAACCCCAGAAAAUAAUAAGUGUUGUGAGGAUGUGGAGAAAAGGGAACCCUUGUACACUGCUGGUGGGAAUAUAAAAUGGUGCAGCUGCUAUGUAAAAUAUGGCAGGCUGGCAACAAAAUUAAACACAAGAACUACCUACCAUGUGAUACAACACUUCUGGGUAUAUACGCAAGAGAGCAGAAAGCAGGGACUUGACAGAUAUCGGUAGACACAUGUUCACCAGCAUUAUUCACAACAACCAAAAGGUGUAUAUGUAAUGUAUAUACACACAUGGAAUAUUAUUCAGCUGAAACUUUGACAUGUGCCACAACAUGAACGAAUCUUAAAGACAUUAUUCUAAGUGACACUAGCCAAUAACAAAAGGAGAAAUAUUGUAUAUGAUUCCAUUUAUAGAGAUUCUUAGAUUCCAUAGAGACAGAAAGUAAAAUGGUGCUUACCAGGAGCUAGAAGGAGGGGAAUGUGUACAGAGUUUCAUUGGGGACAAGGAAAAAGUUCUGAAGAGAGAUAGUGGUGAUGGUUGCAUAACAGUGUAAAUGUACUUAAUGCUACAAAUUUGUUCACUUAAAGCUGAUUAAAAUGGCAAAUUUGAUGUUACAUAUUUUAUCCCCAAAGUAAAAAGGCAGAAUGAAGAGCACAAUAAAACUUGCUUUGCCUACCUCAAAAAACAACAAUAAAAUUCCCAAAAACCGCAAGCUCUAGAGUCAGGCUGCCUGACCACUUAACGAACUGUUUGCCCUGGACAAAUUACUCGAUUCAUUGCCUUUAGUUUUCUCAUCUAUAAAAUGAGAUUAAUUAUACCUCAAAGGAUUGUUGUGAAGAUUAUAUAAUAUUUGUCUAGUUCUUAGAAAAGUGCCUGGCACAUAUUAAGCACUCAAUAAAUACCAGCUAUUAUUACUAGCGUUAGGGAGCCACUUGUGGAGAAAUAGGCAACACAGAAGGCCUCAGAUGAUCCAGGAGGUAAGUUACUCUAUUCAGUCAAAUCCUUACUAUGGAGAUGCAUGUGUAAUCUUCAUUAACUAAAAAAACCAUGCAACAAAUAGGUGGUUUUGUGGCGUGUGCUUUAAAUUCAGAUAUAUUUUGAAGAGAUACCAGUUUCUGAAAAUGUCUCAAGUAAUUUAAGAAUUACCAUAUAAAUGAUACACUGAUUCUCCAUAAAAGAAAUAGGGUAAAUUAUGAAAGCACAACCUAAUUCAGGUUUUCACAUUACAUUUGCAAUAGAAAGAACCAGUGUAAUAUGGUGUCAUUCUUUCAUUUACUUAUCUGAUAUUUACUAUGUAUCUACCAUGUAUUAGCCACAUAAAUUUAUACAUACUGAAUAUAUAUACAUACAGGAAUACCAAAUUGCAUCUAGGCAAUAAAACAAAAAAGACCUCAAAAUGCCUUUUUAAAUUAUAGUGCUUUUUAAAUGUUUCCCAUGUCAGGCCGUUUGAUUAAGAGUAAUAACCUUGACAUAAAGGAUAUAGAAAACUGACGAUUGUGAAUCCAUAGCAAAUAAACACUGGAGCAAAACUCAGUACUGUAGUUAAGCUAAUAUACUGGCCUCUUUUACCUCUGGUCUUUUAGAACUCUGAAUUUAGAUACGUUUUAUGACUGCUUACAGUAACAGGUUCUAGUUCCCAGAAAUGCUAUUUUACAUAAAUACAUCAUCACAGCCCAAAUUGGGCAAAGAGAAAAAUCUUCAUGUCCUGGUUUCUGGGUCACUUACUUCAAUAAAUAUUUAAUAUUAAAAAUAAAUAAAUUUAUAAAGCCCAAUAUAAUGAGACAACUAUAAAAAGACUUGACUGAAGCAGCAUAGCAAAAUCUUGACAAAUAAAAGAAAAAGUAUCUUGCCUUGUGCUGAAGAAACUGUUUAUACAGCUGGUGGCAUAGCUACAGCUGAGAAAAAUAUGGUCAAGAAGGAAACACCCCUGAGUUUAUUAGUACAAUGGUUUUAAGCUUUUCGAUCUGAUUAUGAACUGGUGUGGUGUGUUAAGUGUGCAAGGAGGCUCCCUAGGGUUCUGCUCACUUUUGACCAUCUGUUCCUCCUAUCCCUCCACAAAGCAGCCUUUUAAAGAUACCUCUUUGGGCCUCUAGAUGCCUAUGCACCCUGUGAAAGCCACUCAUCUAAAAGGAGCCAAAUGUCAUUAGACACACAUCUUUCAGUUGAUGUCUAGAAUAAUGUAUAAACCAUACCAGCCAGUUAUAUCACCUUUACAGUCAAGGGACCUCCAUUCUCAGAGGCAUUAAAGAAACAGGUAUAAAGGUUAGAAUUUAGAAAUUUGGUUUCCCUUUGACACAGGACUAAAGUUUAUCUGAAAACUUUCAACAAACCUGGCUAGACAUACACCAAAAAUUUAUGUGGCAUGUAACUCAAUUCUAUGAGUAUAUUUUCUCUAAGUGUGCUAAUUGCAGAAAGCCAUUUCCAGUCCAUUAAAUACAUUUAUUUUGACACAAAAAGCUUUGUUGUGAUAUUAACUGUCUCCCAUAGCCUGAAUGUAAGCUCCAUACAAUUCUUGGUUUCAGAUUCCAGUAAAGGAUUACAGGUUACCUUGGUGCAUUAAUCAGAAUCCACUUAAAGUUUUGACAAUGGGACUAGAGCCAACUGGAUGAAGAGUAAGUUCUCUGCUUCUGCCAAUAGUAGCAACUGUUGUGAAUAAAUGCAUCACAAGAAAAGCAGACUGA